rnacentral:rRNA from 1 species
AUACGUAGGGUGCAAGCGUUAAUCGGAAUUACUGGGCGUAAAGCGUGCGCAGGCGGUUCGGAAAGAAGGAUGUGAAAUCCCAGGGCUCAACCUUGGAACUGCAUUCUUAACUACCGGGCUAGAGUGUGUCAGAGGGAGGUGGAAUUCCGCGUGUAGCGGUGAAAUGCGUAGAUAUGCGGAGGAACACCGAUGGCGAAGGCAGCCUCCUGGGAUAACACUGACGCUCAGGCACGAAAGCGUGGGGAGCAAACAGGAUUAGAUACCCUGGUAGUCCACGCCCUAAACGAUGUCAACUAGCUGUUGGGUUCUUCGGAGCUUAGUAGCGCAGCUAACGCGUGAAGUUGACCGCCUGGGGAGUACGGUCGCAAGAUUAAA